UCUUUUGCUCAUGAAGGAGAGAGACGUCUUCAAAACGCAAUUAAGGGCAUACGGUAAAACGUUUGAGCAGCAGUUGUCGCGCGCAAAUCAGAUUGCGUGAAGCUCUUGUUUGAUGCGGGACACACAUGCUAAAUUGUCUU
ensembl:ncRNA C25A1.18 ncRNA